rnacentral:rRNA from 1 species
CCUACGGGUGGCAGCAGUGAGGAAUAUUGGUCAAUGGGCGCAAGCCUGAACCAGCCAAGUCGCGUGAGGGAAGACGGUCCUAUGGAUUGUAAACCUCUUUUGUCGGGGAGCAAAGCGCGGUACGAGUACCGCGAAGGAGAGUACCCGAAGAAAAAGCAUCGGCUAACUCCGUGCCAGCAGCCGCGGUAAUACGGAGGAUGCGAGCGUUAUCCGGAUUUAUUGGGUUUAAAGGGUGCGUAGGCGGAUUUGUAAGUCAGCGGUAAAAAUGCGGUGCUCAACGCCGUAUCGCCGUUGAAACUGCAGGUCUUGAGGGAGCGAGAAGGAUGCGGAAUUCCUAGUGUAGCGGUGAAAUGCGUAGAUAUUAGGAGGAACACCAGUGGCGAAGGCGGCUUACUGGACUGUAACUGACGUUGAGGCUCGAAAGCGUGGGGAGCAAACAGGAUUAGAUACCCAGUAGUC